AUGAACGCUGGCGGCGUGCCUAAUCCAUGCCAGUCGAGCGAACAGACGAGGAGCUUGCUCCUCUGACGUUAGCGGCGGACGGGUGAGUAACACGUGGAUAACCUACCUAUAAGACUGGGAUAACUUCGGGAAACCGGAGCUAAUACCGGAUAAUAUAUUGAACCGCAUGGUUCAAUAGUGAAAGACGGUUUUGCUGUCACUUGUAGAUGGAUCCGCGCCGCAUUAGCUAGUUGGUAAGGUAACGGCUUACCAAGGCGACGAUGCGUAGCCGACCUGAGAGGGUGAUCGGCCACACUGGAACUGAGACACGGUCCAGACUCCUACGGGAGGCAGCAGUAGGGAAUCUUCCGCAAUGGGCGAAAGCCUGACGGAGCAACGCCGCGUGAGUGAUGAAGGUCUUCGGAUCGUAAAACUCUGUUAUUAGGGAAGAACAAAUGUGUAAGUAACUAUGCACGUCUUGACGGUACCUAAUCAGAAAGCCACGGCUAACUACGUG
rnacentral:rRNA from 1 species